UGACGUUAUGUUUCUCCUCCCUUGCUCCCCUUCUUAAGGUCUGAAUCAUCGUCUAAGGGAAUACAUAGGUUUUAUCCUAAUGUUGAUGGUCUCACUGAGUUUGGCCAAGAAGUGGUAAAGGAGAUGAAUCGCCUGGGUAUGCUGAUAGAUUUAUCUCAUACUUCAUAUUCCACAGCAAAAGCUGCACUGCGCAUCUCAAAAGCACCAGUAAUUUUCAGCCAUUCUUCAGCUUUUGCUGUUUGUAACCACUCAAGAAAUGUUCCCGACGAUAUCCUUCAGCAACUG